CCUACGGGUGGCAGCAGUGAGGAAUAUUGGUCAAUGGGCGCGAGCCUGAACCAGCCAAGUAGCGUGAAGGAUGACUGUCCUACGGGUUGUAAACCUCUUUUAUAAAGGAAUAAAGUGAGGCACGUGUGCCCUUUUGUAUGUACUUUAUGAAUAAGGAUCGGCUAACUCCGUGCCAGCAGCCGCGGUAAUACGGAGGAUCCGAGCGUUAUCCGGAUUUAUUGGGUUUAAAGGGAGCGUAGGUGGGUUGGUAAGUCAGUUGUGAAAGUUUGCGGCUCAACCGUAAAAUUGCAAUUGAUACUGGCAGUCUUGAGUAGAGUUGAAGUAGGCGGAAUGCGUGGUGUAGCGGUGAAAUGCUUAGAUAUCGCGAAGAACUCCGAUUGCGAAGGCAGCUUACUAACCUGCCACUGACGUUGAUGCUCGAAAGUGUGGGUAUCGAACAGGAUUAGAUACCCUUGUAGUC
rnacentral:rRNA from 1 species